rnacentral:rRNA from 1 species
UACGUAGGGGGGCAAGCGUUGUCCGGAUUUAUUGGGCGUAAAGAGCGUGUAGGCGGCUAGGUAGGUCCGUUGUGAAAACUCGAGGCUCAACCUCGAGACGCCGGUGGAAACCAUCUAGCUAGAGUCCGGAAGAGGAGAGUGGAAUUCCUGGUGUAGCGGUGAAAUGACGCAGAUAUCAGGAAGAACACCCGUGGCGAAGGCGGCUCUCUGGGACGGUACUGACGCUGAUGCGCGAAAGCCAGGGGAGCAAACGGG